GGGAGAGCGGGAAGCUGGGCCUCUUGCUUUUCUUUCACAUUCCCAGCAUGGUAGAUGGGUGUGGACAUCAAUCCGAAGCCCACCUCCUUUCGAGGGAUCAAUAGGAUGUCUCAUCACCGCGCAAAUGCGGCUGCCCCUGUUUAACCCCAUCACAGCCUGGUGCUUCAGGAUCCCUCAAAGUCCAGGGUCAAGGCCCAUUCUCUCCCUGGAUCCUGCCUUCCCUGCUCCACCGGCUCCCUUCUCCAGCCCAACUCCGUUCCUUUCAAAGGGUCUUGUUCCCUGGAGCCUGCCAGCACCGAUCCUGUGUUCCCUAGGAGUCCGGAAGAGGCGAGGCACUGGGGAUGCUUCCUGACCUGGCCUUCGUCUCGCUCCACUGUUUGCAGAGCGGUUGUUCUGCUGAGUGGGGAUGGCAGUGCCAGGACUUCUAGCGAGACGGGAGAGGCACAAGGGGAAACUUGGCGGGAAGAGACCAAGGGUGCGGCGGCUCCACGGGGAGUGGAACUUGCAAGAAGAACACAGUGGUUUAAAGGGUAUUUUUAGGAUGUGCAAUAUGGCAGGCCUGCUCUCACUCAAGAAAACUCUGAGUUAAAUUCACAUGACUCAUCACUGCUUCCAUGCCCUGGGCUGGAGGCCAGCUUCGGGGAGAGAACAGGGAUGGCCUGAGGGAAAGGGCCCUGGCACUGGGUGUAGGGGAGUGGAUGAGGAAUAAGACUGGGGAAUCAGACUCUUACACGCUGAUGGGGACUCCCCAGAACCCACUCGUUUAGCUAGACCAAAUAUUAAACAUGUGGGUGAUAUGAGGCAGCAGGUCUCAGAUCUGCUGUCAUAAAGUGGGUCCAAGCAGGAGGAGACCCCUCCCAGGAGAACCAAAUAGAUAAAUAGCCAGGUUGUUAGAAGUGGGGGAAUCUUCCUGUGCUUCAAAGAGGUAAUAAUAAUUAGAUUUGAGCUUGAAAGAUGGGCAGAAGUGACAAAGGGAGACACAAGGCAGAGAGAGGAGCAGAAGCAGGAAUACAGGACACAGCAGACCCUCGAGCUUGGCGGGACACAGGAUCCUGCUCUGCAACAUCCACUUCCUGCUCCCGAUCUCCCUGAAGGGGCUGCUGCUCGUGGGCCUGCUCUGCACUGUGCUGCAAGUGAGCAGUGCUAAGGGGGCCUCCAGGGGGAAAUAAAGUCACAGCCUGAGCCGGGGAACCGCAGCUCCCACACCAUCAACACCCUCGGAGGGGGCAAGCAGAACCUCUGGCCUCCUAUCAGGCCUCCUUUCCUUGUGGCUCCAGGAUGACCCUGUCAGAGAUACUGGACUAUCGUUCAGUUGCAGAGGCCCCAGGGCCUGUCUGGACUUUUCCAUCCCAAGAGGGGCUCGGCUCUAUCCCCUUUGUGCCUGUGACCCUCUCCAUCCCCCACCCGGCUCAGAACUGGCACAGCCACCACCAACCACUCCUGAUUCAACCCAAGCUUCGCCCUUUCCACCUCUCGAGCUGUGCAACAACAAAUGCAGGAUGCUCAGCCCUCAUGUGUCAGUCCCCUCAAUUCACUUGUAAUUAAAUAACAACACACCUC
rnacentral:lncRNA from 1 species